rnacentral:tRNA from 1 species
GCCUCUGUCGUCUAACCAGGAUAGGACGUGGGCUUGCGGAGCCUAAGGUCCGGGUUCAAAUCCCGGCAGAGGCG